rnacentral:rRNA from 1 species
GAUGAACGCUGGCGGCGUGCUUAACACAUGCAAGUCGAACGGUGAAGCAGGAGCUUGCUCUUGUGGAUCAGUGGCGAACGGGUGGGUAACACGUGAGCAACCUGCCCCUGACUCUGGAAUAAGCGCUGGAAACGGCGUCUAAUACUGGAUAUGUGAUGUGACCGCAUGGUCUGCAUCUGGAAAGAAUUUCGGUUGGGGCUGGGCUCGCGGCCUAUCAGCUUGUUGGUGAGGUAAUGGCUCACCAAGGCGUCGACGGGUAGCCGGCCUGGGCGGGUGACCGGCCACACUGGGACUGAGACACGGCCCAGACUCCUACGGGAGGCAGCAGUGGGGAAUAUUGCACAAUGGGCGCAAGCCUGAUGCAGCAACGCCGCGUGAGGGAUGACGGCCUUCGGGUUGUAAACCUCUUUUAGUAGGGAAGAAGCGAAAGUGACGGUACCUGCAGAAAAAGCACCGGCUAACUACGUGCCAGCCGCCGCCGUAA